UAAACUCCGUGAAGGAAGAACAUUUCUCUGCUUUGCUCAUUGCUGAGAUCCCAGGGUCUAGACGCAUGCUGGCCACACAGAAGGGCCAGAGCACAAGCAAUACAAACUGAGGAAAUAGCAAAUGUACCUAGUGCUUAUUCAACCAUCUUCCCAAAUGUGACAAAUAUGAAAGGCAAUUUGUGAACUCAAAUUAAAACUGACUAAAGUUACUCUGCUUUGGAUUAUCUUGGGUUGUAAGAACCACGGACGAAAGCACACACCCACCAAAACAGCUGGUGUCAAAAAGACGAGCAAUACCCAGUGUUGGCAAGGACGUGACACAAUUGGAACGCUCAGGCAUCGUUGAUGGGAGUGUCCGUCGGUCCAGUCAUUUUGGAAACCUGCUUGUAUCGACUUAGAGCUGCAUAGAUGCCGCCCCUGACCCAGCAAACACACUCACAGAUUUGUACCCAAGGGAAAUGAGAGUCUAUGCCCACGAAGAGACAUGUGCCGGAACAUUCCCUGCAGCUUAUCCCAGCAGGCAGACGCUGGAAACCACACAAGUGUCAGUCAGUGUGGCAAUAGUAGCAUGGGAUUCGUGCGGUGGAAUGCUGCCCAGUGGUGAAAGAGAAUGAACCACACUCUGGUGUGGCAACAUGGACAAAUCUCACGGAUGGAAUGAGGGAAUGAAGCCAGACAAAGACAUAGGAUCGAUAAUUUGAUUACCUAGAAGAUGAGGGGAACGCACGACUCACCAUGUGAGAGAAAGACCAUGACGAAGCAGGCUGCGCCUGCCACCAGAUUGGACGCGGCCAAGGGGCGGAUGAGGCCAC